UUGGAGGGCAAGUCUGGUGCCAGCAGCCGCGGUAAUUCCAGCUCCAAUAGCGUAUAUUAAAGUUGUUGCAGUUAAAAAGCUCGUAGUUGAAUUUCGAGACCCGUCUACUGGUCGUGCUUUUGUACGUACUAGUAUAAUCGGUUUCUCUCUUCUGACGAACUAUAAUGCCAUUAAUUUGGUGUUUUAGGGAAUCAGGACUGUUACUUUGAAAAAAUUAGAGUGUUUAAAGCAGGC
rnacentral:rRNA from 1 species